GACGAACGCUGGCGGCGUGCUUAACACAUGCAAGUCGAACGGAAAGGCCCUGCUUUUGUGGGGUGCUCGAGUGGCGAACGGGUGAGUAACACGUGAGUAACCUGCCCUUGACUUUGGGAUAACUUCAGGAAACUGGGGCUAAUACCGGAUAGGAGCUCCUGCUGCAUGGUGGGGGUUGGAACGUUUCGGCGGUUGGGGAUGGACUCGCGGCUUAUCAGCUUGUUGGUGGGGUAGUGGCUUACCAAGGCUUUGACGGGUAGCCGGCCUGAGAGGGUGACCGGCCACAAUGGGACUGAGAGACGGCCCAGACUCCUACGGGAGGCAGCAGUGGGGAAUAUUGCACAAUGGGCGGAAGCCUGAUGCAGCAACGCCGCGGGCGGGAUGACGGCCUUCGGGUUGUAAACCGCUUUCGCCUGUGACGAAGCGUGAGUGACGGUAAUGGGUAAAGAAGCACCGGCUAACUACGUG
rnacentral:rRNA from 1 species